GCGAUAUAACCAGAAAGUUAAGCAUGCUUGGGCUGAAGCAAUGAGAGGAUAGGCGACCGGCCGAGAAGUUAGACGAUUUGGAAUGAGUGAUCCACGCUAGAGCAGUGAGGAUGCGUGAUUAGAGAUUAAAUUGUCAAAUAAUUAAAAUAUUUGAAAAUUGGAAUAAAACAUAAAAAAAAAAUCAAAAAAUAUUCAAAAAUAAAAA
rnacentral:lncRNA from 1 species